UCAACUCGUAGUAGUACUUUCAGUACUUUGAUUAGGGUACUGGCACCAUAUGCUUCAGUACUUUCAUCUGUGAAGACCCAAUUGCUAACCCCACCAUGCACUAGAAAGAUCAUUAUGUGGGGACACAGGUGCUUAUUAUGACCAACGAACAGUCAUUUUCGAAUUAUCAUGUACAUGUAUACAUGGAUGGACAAACUAUGUUCACUGGAUGGCUAUAUAUCAACACUCCCAUGUACAUGAACAGCCUUGCCCCAAGAAUUUUGCCCUGAAGUAACAGUUUUCAGUCCAUUGUGUCCUUUCUCUUAACAACCCUGACAGCCAGGAUAUUAAAUAGCUGAUUACAUGUACUUGACAGAAAAUGAUCAUGUCUUAGACAAGUCAAAGACAUUCCUCCUGUCUUUCAGAGAAAUGACAGUUGAUGAAAGAAUGGUGGCCACAAAGUAAAAGUGCUCUGGUCUUCAACAUUUUGUGGAAGAUUAAAUCAGUCUGAUUUGGAAUUCAGCUUGCAAUAUUUCUGGAUUUGUAUAUUUGUAUAAAAACAUAACUUUUUCAACUUAUUGACUAAACAGUUUUGCAUUAGAUAUUGCCAAUGUCUUCUAUUAUUAUUUUUUUCCUCCAAGAUGACAUGUCAAGUCUUUAUUGUACGCCUUAAGAACUGUUACCAGAAAAAUCUUAAGCUUGUAAUGAAAUCAAUCAGUUUAUAUUUUCUUGUUAAAUUUAAAGUCGGGAGGAAAAUCAAUGAAGUAUAGGUUAUUUUUAAUGGCAUCAAGAAAAUGGAUUUGUUUUUGUUUAACAGAAAGAUUGUAUACAUGUUGUAGUUACUGUUUUGUAAUUUUUACAUCACGUACUGUUCAGUCAGACCUUUUUGUCCUUUUUUUUUUUUUUUUUGGAGUGAGAAAAAAAAUUAAAAACCUUUAUUAGCCACAUCUUUCAUGAAAUGUAUAGGACCUGUGGGUCUGUCAAUUUAAUUUGCUAGUAAAUAUGCAUCAUAAAUUGGAACGAAGUUGCACUAGUGGAAAGUACUGUUUAUUUUUUAAUUUACUUGAUAUUAUGGUUGUGAAUUUUUUUUUAAAAAAAUUAGAACACAAGAAACCCUGUUUGUAAAUUGUACUUCAAAUUUUUGACAACCUGAUUUUUAAUUACUUGCAUUGUCAAUUUAUUAUUGCCUUGAAAGACCAAGUCAAUUGUUUCUCAUCAAACAUGGCUAGUGAAUGCCGUCUUCACCAGCGAAGGGAUUUGCUGUUCUUCUCACAAACCCAUGGUCUAUCUUGCUAUCAAAAGUCCGGAUUAUUUUCACAAG